rnacentral:rRNA from 1 species
GACGUAGGGCGCGAGCGUUGUCCGGAUUUAUUGGGCGUAAAGAGCUCGUAGGCGGCUUGUCGCGUCGACUGUGAAAACCCGAGGCUUAACCUCGUGGCUUGCGGUGGAUACGGGCAGACUAGAGGUAGGUAGGGGAGAACGGAAUUCCCGGUGUAGCGGUGAAAUGCGCAGAUAUCGGGAGGAACACCGGUGGCGAAGGCGGUUCUCUGGGCCUUACCUGACGCUGAGGAGCGAAAGCAUGGGGAGCGAACAGG